GUUCGAUUGACCUGUAAAAUAAAACCAGCGCAAUCGGCAGUAGGAAACUUAGUGCGCAAAACACUGUAUAGCAGGAACAACGAUUCAAACCUUUCUAUAUCAGUGUUCGUUACACCUACACACUGCCUUGCGAAAUGCAUGUUGUGGAGUAAAAGUUUUUCAUGAAGGAUGGAUUAAGUCAUUUAAGAGGGUCUGUUGACGAUCGUAGAUCUCACGUGUUCGUUUCUUGUAUGGCUGGUUAACGCUCCAAGGAAUGAUCUCUCCUGAAACGAAAACAGUACGCAGACUUUAAAUGACGAUAAAUAGAGAAAUCUUAUCGCCGUGCAGGGACUGGUUGCAUGGGUAAUGAUUGUUUUGGAGUUGACUGUAGGACGAAAGUUAACCAAUCAAAAUUGAGGCCAGAUUCUCGAAACGUUUAGACGCGGGACGUUUAGAUAAAUGUAUAGUACAAUAUUAUACAACCGGACCCAUGCAGAUGUUUUACCCUAUUUCAAAUUUUAUAUUUGGC
rnacentral:lncRNA from 1 species